UACGUAUGGAGCAAGCGUUAUCCGGAUUUACUGGGUGUAAAGGGAGCGUAGGCGGCUCUGUAAGUCUGAUGUGAAAAUUUGGGGCUCAACCCCAAACGUGCAUUGGAAACUGCAGGGCUUGGGUGCCGGAGAGGCAGGCGGAAUUCCUAGUGUAGCGGUGAAAUGCGUAGAUAUUAGGAGGAACACCAGUGGCGAAGGCGGCCUGCUGGACGGUAACUGACGCUGAGGCUCGAAAGCGUGGGGAGCGAACAGG
rnacentral:rRNA from 1 species